UACGUAGGUGGCAAGCGUUGUUCGGAUUCAUUGGGCGUAAAGGGUGCGUAGGUGGCAUGGUAAGUCGGAUGUGAAAUCCCGGGGCUUAACCCCGGAACUGCAUUCGAUACUGCUGAGCUAGAGUACUGGAGAGGAGAUUGGAAUUUACGGUGUAGCAGUGAAAUGCGUAGAUAUCGUAAGGAAGACCAGUGGCGAAGGCGGAUCUCUGGACAGUUACUGACACUGAGGCACGAAGGCCAGGGGAGCAAACGGG
rnacentral:rRNA from 1 species